AAGCGAAGUUAACACCAUGUAGGGGAGCAGGUGCCUUAAAGUCUGGCUUCGCCCCCAAAAGGAUACUAAGAAGGAAGCUGAAAGGAAAAUCUACCGAAGACCCCGACCUAGCAAAUCCUUACUCAUGAGAGUAGCUUUCUGCACUGAAAUAGAUCUCCUGGCUGCUCACGCCCAUUGACUUGAGUGUGGCUGCUCCCAAGAAUAAAGUUACUUGCAGAGGACGUCACAUUAGAGGAGCACAAUUGUCCCUUCUGGCCGCUCAAUCCAUGAGUUGGAGCCGGUAGAAGAAAACAGCAAACAGUUCUGUGAAGAUCGCCCAGUUCAUUGAAAGGGUUUUCAGUGCGUUUCGAAGUGUGGGACAAAGUGUUUCGCAGGGUGGAACCGCGUCGGCCAGCGCUAGCGGCGGGGGAGACGCUCCAAGCAUUGCUCUGAAUGUUUGUACUGACAUUUUGCAUUGGGGUUGCUGAAAUGCCAACAACUGCAGCAAGAAACCAAAACGAGGGAAAUGCCGACCAGCCCGGCCAUGAACGGAGCUGAUGAACCUUCCUCCAAGGCGCGUGACAGCUACUCACGCGUGGCCAGUGGAAAAGAGACCCAGUGACGCCGCCGACAUGCCUGGCGAGUCUUUUCCUUUUAACACGAAAACCUCGGCCUCUGCGUUCUUGGCUGGGACUUUUCCUGCCUCUGUCACU